rnacentral:rRNA from 1 species
UACGUAGGGGGCAAGCGUUGUCCGGAAUCAUUGGGCGUAAAGAGCGUGUAGGCGGCCAGAAAAGUCCGCUGUGAAAACUCGAGGCUCAACUUCGAGCUGUCGGUGGAAACUUUCUGGCUAGAGUCCGGAAGAGGAGAAUGGAAUUCCUGGUGUAGCGGUGAAAUGCGCAGAUAUCAGGAAGAACACCCGUGGCGAAGGCGGCCAGCUGGGCCGUCCCUGACGCUGAGGCGCGAAGGCGUGGGGAGCGAACGGG